GAUUAAGUUCAGCUUACUUGGGCUGGAUGUGUUCUGAAUUCAAAACUUCCUGGAAGGCUGGAGCAAAUAUGGAGGAUCUCCACAGCUCUGGCCAGGCUGCCAGGUCUAUGCUCCCUCUUUAGCUACUUCCCCGCCAUCUGUGUUCAACACUCUGAACUUGACACAGCCCUGCUCGCAAGACCUGCAUCUCUAAUCAUCCCACCAGAACUUCUUGCUUCUCACCCUUCUGCCCUUAUAUAAAUUGGAGGAUCUGUGCCUUCUGGAUCUUGGGAGGUAAUCCUAGGCCCCCACUUCUAGCAGCCAAGAUGGUGGCAUAAGGAACAUUAUGAGAUCACCCAAUCUACCCCCAAACAACCACAUACACAAAAAGCCUCAAAUUUUAGAGUGGGACUACCAACAAAAGAUAGAGUAAAGCACAGUUUCAGCCAAAGAAAAUGUAUUGACAGGUAAGUCAUGAAC
rnacentral:lncRNA from 1 species